CGAGUUAACUGAACCUUCGGGGAACGUUAACGGCGUCGAGCGGCGGACGGGUGAGUAAUGCCUGGGAAAUUGCCCUGAUGUGGGGGAUAACCAUUGGAAACGAUGGCUAAUACCGCAUAAUAGCUUCGGCUCAAAGAGGGGGACCUUCGGGCCUCUCGCGUCAGGAUAUGCCCAGGUGGGAUUAGCUAGUUGGUGAGGUAAGGGCUCACCAAGGCGACGAUCCCUAGCUGGUCUGAGAGGAUGAUCAGCCACACUGGAACUGAGACACGGUCCAGACUCCUACGGGAGGCAGCAGUGGGGAAUAUUGCACAAUGGGCGCAAGCCUGAUGCAGCCAUGCCGCGUGUAUGAAGAAGGCCUUCGGGUUGUAAAGUACUUUCAGCAGUGAGGAAGGCGGAAUCGUUAAUAGCGGCCUCGUUUGACGUUAGCUGCAGAAGAAGCACCGGCUAACUCCGUGCCAGCAGCCGCGGUAAUACGGAGGGUGCGAGCGUUAAUCGGAAUUACUGGGCGUAAAGCGCAUGCAGGUGGUUUGUUAAGUCAGAUGUGAAAGCCCGGGGCUCAACCUCGGAAUUGCAUUUGAAACUGGCAGACUAGAGUACUGUAGAGGGGGGUAGAAUUUCAGGUGUAGCGGUGAAAUGCGUAGAGAUCUGAAGGAAUACCGGUGGCGAAGGCGGCCCCCUG
rnacentral:rRNA from 1 species